rnacentral:rRNA from 1 species
GAUGAGCGCUGGCGGCGUGCCUAAUACAUGCAAGUCGAACGAGGUCUUCGGACCUAGUGGCGAACGGGUGAGUAACACGUUGGUACCUACCCCGAAGUGGGGAAUAACUGCCCGAAAGGGUGGCUAAUACCGCAUAAUACCGCAGGGUUAAAGCAGUAAUGCGCUUCGGGAGGGGCCUGCGUCCCAUUAGCUAGUUGGUAGGGUAAUGGCCUACCAAGGCGACGAUGGGUAGCUGGAUCGAGAGGUUGACCGGCCACACUGGGACUGAGAUACGGCCCAGACUCCUACGGGAGGCAGCAGUAAGGAAUCUUCCACAAUGGACGAAAGUCUGAUGGAGCAACGCCGCGUGCAGGAUGACGGCCUUCGGGUUGUAAACUGCUUUUAUACGGGAAGAUUAUGACGGUACCGUAUGAAUAAGGACCGGCUAACUACGUGCCAGCCGCCGCAGUAA